rnacentral:lncRNA from 1 species
UCUGCUCAGCCCUUGUUCCGGCCGUCCAACCACCUCUAGCCGCCGCUCGCCGCCGUCCCGACCCCCCGGCAUCCCCCUCGCCCUCCGCCGGCCUUCCCCUCACCGCCCUAGCCACCGGAGCAGCCACGGCCAGCCCUAUCCAGCAACCCACGAAAUGGGUUUCCAGCUAGUUCGGGCCCGUUUUGGGCCGUUUCCCGGCCCCGAACCCAAGCUGUGCUUUGGGAACAAUCAUUCCUCGCGUCGCCGCCGUCGGAUUGAUCCGAUUUGCGCGCGAUUUGGUGAGUAAUCUCACUAAUCUCAGAUUAGUUGGCUAAUUAUUCAUCUUUAGAUUAGAAUAAAUUAGCAAUUAUUAGUCAAUUGUGAUGUAAUUUAGAUAAAUUGAUUGUGCAAUUAACAAGUAGACGUGGUCUACUAUUUAUUGGAAGCAUCUCGGGAAUUUUCCGACCCCUAAUUGGGCUUCAAUUUGGCGAUUCGGGCCUAAGUGAGAUUUUUGGGCAUUUAAAUAUUAAUUUUCAGAAUUAAAUUAAAUAAUUAUUUAUUUUCUGAAAAUUCAAGGGAGAUGGCCCGUGACCGGAAAAUUAUGCUGAUGACUGUGGUGAAGUCUGUUUAUUUAAUCGGGCUUUAUUUUGAGCUAAAUUGAAUUUUUAAUAUUAAUUAUUUAAUUUUCGAAAUUAAUUAUUUAUUUAUUUAUUUCUUGAAAAUUCAACUGGGAUGGCCCGUGACCGGAAAAUUAUGCUGAUGAUCGUGGUGAAGUCCGUUUAUUUAAUUGGACCUUAUUUUGAGCUAAACAGAAUUUUUAAUAUUAAAUAAUAAUUUUCGAAAUUAAUUAAUUAUUUAUUUAUUUUUCGGAAAUUAAGUUUGAGAUGGCCGACGACCGAAAUCUCGUGCUGAUCAUCGUGGCACAGUUCGUUUAUUUAAUUAAGUUUUAAAUUGUACCGAAUUAAGGUUGUGGAUAAUUACUUUAGAAAUGAGAUGAAUCAUCAUAAAAGGCACGGGGCUUGAUGAUUAGAUAUAUCACCUCGGAGAAUGCACAUGGCUCGGUGACGAAGUAUGUCGCCUUGGAGAAUGCAUGUGGCUCGGUGAUUAAGUGUGGCAUCUAAAAAGGGCGCAUGGACUCGGUAAUUUGAUGCAUUACCUCGAAGAAUGCACAUGGUCCCAAUGAGUACAUUUGGCAUCUAAAUAGACAUGUGGGCUCGGUAAUUUGAUGCAUUACCUUGGAGAAAGCACGUGGUCCCAAUGAGUACAUUUAGCAUCUAAAAGGACAUGUGGGCUCGGUAAUUUGAUGCAUUACCUCGGAGAAUGCACGUGGUCCCAAUGAGUACAUUUGGCAUCUUGAAGAGACACAUGGGCUCGGUGACUUGAUGCAUCGCCUCGGAGAAUGCACGUGGGUUCGUUGAUUUAAAAUGACAUUUUAAAGAGCAUGUGGUCGAGUGGGACUCUGUAUAGCAAUAGCUUGAAUGACCGGGAAAUGGUUAGGCUGAUAUGUAAUCGACUAGGUCGAUUGAUCAUUGAUUUGAUUUGAUGUCGUGGAUUGAUUGACUGAUUAGAAAUGACCGUGAGUGGUCUUAUUAACUGGUAAUCGAUUAGGUCGAUUUGAUCGAUGCUUUGAUCUGUGAUGUGAUUGCUUGGGUAUCUAUUUGACCUGUGCUAACAUGCAGGUGGGAUUUGAGGCAAAGGUAUGUCUUCCGCCCUAUGAGUGUAUAGGCAGCCUAUAGUAUAAUGGUUUACUAAUUGGGCUUAGUGGGGUAGAACUCGCUGAGACGUAGUCUCAUCCCAAUUUGGGGAAAAACAUUUCAGGACCCUGUUGAGGAGCUGAGGAGGAAUUUGAGAAGGAGAACUCGGAGGUGAAACCUGAGUAGAAGGAUUUUUGGAAGAAAAAGAUAAUACCGAGAGAGAUUUUGAGUAUGACCUGAAGGG